UCCAGACUCCUACGGGAGGCAGCAGUGGGGAAUAUUGCACAAUGGGGGAAACCCUGAUGCAGCGACGCCGCGUGAGCGAGGAAGUAUUUCGGUAUGUAAAGCUCUGUCAGCAGGGAAGAAGAAUGACGGUACCUGAAGAAGAAGCACCGGCUAAAUACGUGCCAGCAGCCGCGGUAAUACGUAUGGUGCAAGCGUUAUCCGGAUUUACUGGGUGUAAAGGGAGCGCAGGCGGUUCUGCAAGUCUGAUGUGAAAGCCCGGGGCUCAACCCCGGGACUGCAUUGGAAACUGCAGGACUGGAGUGUCGGAGGGGUAAGCGGAAUUCCUGGUGUAGCGGUGAAAUGUGUAGAUAUCAGGAGGAACACCGGUGGCGAAGGCGGCCUGCUGGACUGCAACUGACGUUGAGGCCCGAAAGCGUGGGGAGCAAACAGGAUUAGAUACCCCCGUAC
rnacentral:rRNA from 1 species